AAAAACACAUUGGAAUGAGGAAACAAUCACUCAAGUUCAUCUCAAACCCACUUUACUUGUUGUUGAGUACAGUGAUAAGAGAUAUCAACUAAAAUGAGUGGUGGGAAGGGUUCAGUUUUUUUGGCUUUCUUGCUCUUCUUUUUCCUCGUCUCCUCGGAGCUGGCUGCUGCCCGGAAGCUGAUGGUGGCCGGAAACAAUGCAGCGGUCAUUCCCCGCACACAAGUCUCCUACGAUCCCUAUUGCGAUCAUACCGGUUAUAGGAGUUGCCUCCCACAGCCACGCCCAGUCUGCAAUCCUUAUGUAGAAUACUGCCCUCCGAAGAACUGAAGUGGACACUAAGAUCAAACACCAUGGGAUCUAAAUAAAGUAACCCACACCUACCUGGGUUUUGAUUACUAUCUAUCUUACCUUUGUUGUGUGUAUUGAAUCCUAUUUAUAUGGUUAUAAGUUCGGGAGAUUUGUGUUUUAUGCCGAGGAUGCGCGAUAUAAUUCGUAACUCUAUCAAUUUAUACCAUAUGUUAGAAACGUUAAUUUA